rnacentral:rRNA from 1 species
UACGUAGGGACCAAGCGUUGUUCGGAUUUACUGGGCGUAAAGGGCGCGUAGGCGGUUCCUCAAGCGUGGAGUGAAAGUCCGGGGCUCAACCCUGGAUCGGCUCUGCGAACUGGGGGACUGGAGCGUAUCAGAGGCAGGCGGAAUUCCGGGUGUAGCGGUGGAAUGCGUAGAGAUCCGGAAGAACACCGGUGGCGAAGGCGGCCUGCUGGGAUACAGCUGACGCUGAGGCGCGACAGCGUGGGGAGCAAACAGG